rnacentral:rRNA from 1 species
AACCCGACUCCAUGAAGCUGGAUUCGCUAGUAAUCGCGCAUCAGCCACGGCGCGGUGAAUACGUUCCCGGGCCUUGUACACACCGCCCGUCAAGCCAUGGAAGCCGGGGGGUGCCUGAAGUGCGCUGCCGCAAGGAGCGCCCUAGGGUAAAACCGGUGACUGGGGCUAAGUCGUAACAAGGUAGC